GGUGUCGCGGAAUGUGGUGUUUAGGAGGACCGUGCGCGUCUGUCCGGCAUCGUCCAAGUCUCCAUGAAUGGGGCCAGCAACCCAGAGAGGGUGUCAGGCCCGUAGGACUGAGCCGCGACGGCGUAUUGGGUCUCUCCUUAGAGUCGGGUUGCUUGAGAGUGCAGCCCUAAGUGGGAGGUAAACUCCUUCUAAGGCUAAAUACGGCCACGAGACCGAUAGCGAACAAGUACCGCGAGGGAAAGUUGAAAAGAACUUUGAAGAGAGAGUUCAAUAGUGCGUGAAACCGUUCAGGGGGUUAAACGGGUGGGCCCUCGAAGGUCGAACGCUCCCUACUCGCGUCUCCGCUCGUCGGUCCGUGCCGCUUUUCCGAUCUCGCUACGGGACGGAGCGGUGCGGUAACUGGUGCGAGCGGGGGCGUUUAGUUAGGGGGCCAGUAGGACUCCGCAACCGUCUGGAGCAGUCGUCAGAAGGGCCCUGGUAGAAAGCCUCCUCGCGGGGUGGACUCUGGGGUUCCGGGCGAUCUCUCCGGCCGUGAACCGGCAUUCCACUCGGCUGGCGUCCGUGACGAGCUUCCCCUUCACGGGGGGAGUUGUCGGUUGCGGGCGUUACCGGGGGACGCUAGCGGAGAGUAGAGUCGGGUCCCACCCGACCCGUCUUGAAACACGGACCAAGGAGUCUAACAUGUGCGCGAGUCGUCGG
rnacentral:rRNA from 2 species